UGAGUUCAGCUAAACUGGGCUAGGCUGGGCUGGGCUGGGCCAGGCUAGGGUGAGUUCAGCUAAACAGGGCUGGGCCAGGCCGAGUUCAGCUAAACUGGGCUGGGGUGGGCUGAAUUCGGUUCAGCUAGGCUGAGCAACACCAAACUGGACUGAGCUGGCCUGAGCUGUGAUUGGAAGACCUGGGCUGAGCAGGACUGACCUGAACAAGCUUAGCUGGUUGGGCUAAGCUGGGCUGAGCUAAAUUGGGUUGAGCUAGGCUGGCUGAGGGACCUGAGAGGACAGGGUUAGAAGCUGGACUGAGCUGGGCUUAGACUGUUGAACUGAGUUGAGCUGGGGUGACCUAAACUUGGCUUGGCUGGGAUGAGCUGAUCUGGGCUGAACUAGGCCUGCCGAGUGGGCUGGGCUGGGCUAACCUAGGUUCAGCUGGGCUAAUAUGGGCUGGGCCAGGCUAAGGAGAACUGAGCUGGGUGGAGCUGAGCUAAACUGGGUUCAGCUGGGCUGGCGAGGCUGGACUGACAGAACUGAACCUGGCUGGGCUGGGCUGAACUAGGCUAGCCUGAGCAGGCUGAGCUGGGUUGGGUUGGAUUGAGUUGGGUUGGGUUGGGCGGGGCUGGGCUAACCUGGGUUCAGCUGGCCUAGGUUGGGCUCAGCUGGGCUGACCUGGACCAGGCUGGCCUAGAGUGGACCUCAGAGGGUGACUCCCCAGGUGGGCUGGUCUCCACUGACCUUGGCUGUCCCAGUGGGCAGAGUGGGGCUGGACACUGUGAUUUUGGGGGUACCUAGAGCAGACUUUGAGACCAAGCUAAAUGCAGCUCCAGGGGCAGGAUGGGCUGGGAAUCUGGGGCUCCAGGCCAGAAGUGAGGGCCUCACUGUGCAGACGGCUCUGUCCAGGCCAGGGGGCUGUUGUGGAGAGACCACCUGGGGGGCAUCAGGGCAAAUCUUUCCACCUUCCCCUAGAGGCCAGUGCAGGCAGAGCAUGUGGGGGUCUGGCAGGCCAGGCGAGGGCUGCUGUGAUGGAGAGACUGAGGCUCAGCACUCAGGAGCCUGAGGAGCUGAGCCCACAGCAUCGGGGAGUGGGGGCCAGGGUUGGAGGCCCGGCAGACCACCCACCGUAAGCCCAGUGAAAUUUUGAAAGGGAAGGGCUCUGGGUCCCGGGCUUCAGCCUAGGGGCGUGGCCCAGUGCCUCUGCUCCCGAGUGCCCAGGCUUCAGCACUUAGGGUGGAGGCUGGGGUCAUCCUGGGGCACCCCCACCUUCCUGAGCCCAGCCUGAGGACAGUGGCUGAGCAACAGCUUCGUAGGGGAACAGGGGCCCUGGGAGGUGCCCUGGGCCUGGAGCUUGUGGGGAAGCACAGGGUGGGGAAAGACCCAGAAUGAGCCUGGCCAUCUGGACCGCUGGGCUGCCCCAGCAUCCCCAGCUCCCCCACAGGGACUCCCUCAGCCCGAUGGGCUGGCCCGGGGCUGGUGCUGACCAGGCUCUGUCCUCACAGCCUCCACACAGCACCCAUCCGUCUUCCCCUUGAUCCCCUGCUGCAAAGAAGUUAAGAACAAAACCUCCGUGACCAUGGGCUGCCUGGCCACAGGAUACUUCCCCAUGCCAGUGACCGUGACCUGGGACACAGGCCCCCUCAACGGGAUCAUUGUGACCCUCCCAGCCACCACCCCCAUGGCCUCUGGCUACUACACCACCACCAGCCAGCUGACUGUCUCGGGUGCAUGGAAGGAGCAGACGUUCACCUGUAGGGUGGCACAUACUCCAUCGUCCCCAGACCCGGUCAAAAAAACCUUCAGAGUCUGCUCCAGGGAUUUCGACACGCCCACCGUGAAGGUCCUGCAGUCCUCCUGCGACGGCGGCGGGCACUUCCCCCCGACCGUCCAGCUCCUGUGCCUCGUUUCCGGGUACACCCCAGGCGACCUCAACAUCACGUGGCUGCAGGACGGGCAGGUCGUGGACGUGAACUGGACCAUCUCUGCUCCCGUGCUGGAGGGCAAGCUGGCCUCCAGGCAGAGCGAGCUCAUCCUCACCCAGAAGCGCUGGCUGUCCGACCACACCUACACCUGCCUGGUCGACUAUCAAGGCGAAACCUUUGAGGAAAGCGCCAAGAAGUGUGCAGAUUCCAACCCCAGAGGGGUGAGCGCCUACUUGAGCCGGCCCAGCCCCUUGGACCUGUUCGUCAGCAAAUCCCCCACGAUCACCUGUCUGGUGGUGGACCUGGCGCCCAGCCGGGAGACAGUGAACCUGACCUGGUCCCGCGCCAGUAAGAAGCCUGUGCCCCAGGUGAUCCCAAAGCAUCAGAAGCAGCGCAAUGGCACGGUCACCGUCACGUCCACCCUGCCAGUGGGCACCAGAGACUGGAUCGAGGGGGAGACCUACCACUGCAGGGUGACCCACCCCCACCUGCCCAGGGCCCUCGUUCGGUCCAUGACCAAGAUGAGCGGCCCGCGCAGUGCCCCGGAAGUCCACGUGUUUGCAACGCCAGAGGAGCUGAGGAACCCGGACAAGCGCACCCUCACCUGCCUGAUCCAGAACUUCCUGCCCAUGGACAUCUCGGUGCAGUGGCUGCACAACGGGGUGGCGCUCCCGCCCUCCCGGCACAGCACCACGCCGCCCCACAGGACCAAGGACUCCGGCUUCUUCGUCUUCAGCCGCCUGGAGGUGACCAGGGCUGAAUGGGAGCAGAAAAACGAGUUCAUCUGCCGUGCGAUCCACGAGGCAGUGAAAGACUCACAGACUGUCGAGAAAGCGGUGUCUGUAAAUCUCGGUAAAUGACGUCCUCCUGCCUCCCUCCCUCCCAGGGCUCCGUCCAGCGGUGCGGUGGGGAGGGCUGGCCAGACUUUCUGUCCACUGUUGCCACGACCCCAGGAAGCCACCCCCAAUAAACAGUGCAUGCUGAGA